GAUGAAGAACGUAGCGAAAUGCGAUAAGUAAUGUGAAUUGCAGAAUUCAGUGAAUCAUCGAAUCUUUGAACGCACCUUGCGCCCUUUGGCCAUUCCGAAGGGCAUGCCUGUUUGAGUAUCAUGAACACCUCAACUCUUCAUGGUUUUCCGUGAUGAGCUUGGACUUUGGGGGUCUUGCUGUCCUAUGGUCAGCUCCUCUAAAAUAAAUCAGCUUGCCAGUGUUUGGUGGGUAUCACAGGUGUGAUAACUAUCUACGCUUGUGGUUUUCCACCAGGUAACCUUCAGCAGUGGAGGUUCGCUGGAGCUCACAGAUGUGUCUCUCCUCAGUGAGGACAGCUCUUUGAAUGUUUGAUCUCAAAUCAGGUAGGACUACCCGCUGAACUUAAGCAUAUCAAUAAGCGGAGGA
rnacentral:misc_RNA from 1 species